AUUGAACGCUGGCGGCAGGCCUAACACAUGCAAGUCGAACGAGUGGCGGACGGGUGAGUAAUGUCUGGGAAACUGCCUGAUGGAGGGGGAUAACUACUGGAAACGGUAGCUAAUACCGCAUACCAUCAGAUGUGCCCAGAUGGGAUUAGCUUGGUGGUGGGGUAACGGCUCACCAAGGCGACGGUCCCUAGCGGGUCUGAGAGGAUGACCAGCCACACUGGAACUGUGACACGGUCCAUACUCCUACGUGAGGCAGCAGUGGGGAAUAUUACACAAUGGGCGCACGCCUACUGCCUCCAUGCCGCUUGUAUGAAGAAGGCCUUCGGGUUGUAAAGUACUUUCAGCGGGGAGGCGUUACCCGCAGAAGAAGCACCGGCUAACUCCGGGCCAGCAGCCGCGGUAAUUC
rnacentral:rRNA from 1 species